rnacentral:rRNA from 1 species
GAUGAACGCUGACAGAAUGCUUAACACAUGCAAGUCAACUUGAACUUCGGGUUGGGUGGCGGACGGGUGAGUAACGCGUAAAGAACUUUCCUCACAGCUAGGGACAACAUUUGGAAACGAAUGCUAAUACCUGAUAUUAUGAUUUUAGGGCAUCCUAGAAUUAUGAAAGCUAUAUGCGCUGUGAGAGAGCUUUGCGUCCCAUUAGCGAGGUGGAGAGGUAACGGAUCACCAAGGCGAUGAUGGGUAGCCGGCCUGAGAGGGUGAAAGGCCACAAGGGGACUGAGACACGGCCCUUACUCAAACGGGCGGCAGGAGCGGGGAAUAUUGGACAAAGGACCAAGAGUGUGAUCAAGCAAUUCUGUGUGCAAGAUGAAGUUUUUCGGAAUGUAAAGUGGUUUCAGUUGGGAAGAAAAAAAUGACGGUACCAACAGAAGAAGCGACGGCUAAAUACGUG